rnacentral:rRNA from 1 species
AUUGAACGCUGGCGGCAUGCUUUACACAUGCAAGUCGAACGGUAACAGGGAGCUUGCUCCGCUGACGAGUGGCGAACGGGUGAGUAAUGCAUCGGAACGUACCCAGUCGUGGGGGAUAACGUAGCGAAAGUUACGCUAAUACCGCAUACGUCCUGAGGGAGAAAGCGGGGGACCGAAAGGCCUCGCGCGAUUGGAGCGGCCGAUGUCGGAUUAGCUAGUUGGUAGGGUAAAGGCCUACCAAGGCGACGAUCCGUAGCGGGUCUGAGAGGAUGAUCCGCCACACUGGGACUGAGACACGGCCCAGACUCCUACGGGAGGCAGCAGUGGGGAAUUUUGGACAAUGGGCGGCAAGCCUGAUCCAGCCAUGCCGCGUGAGUGAAGAAGG